UAAGGAAUAUUGGUCAAUGGACGCAAGUCUGAACCAGCCAUGCCGCGUGAAGGAUGAAGGUCCUCUAGAUUGUAAACUUCUUUUAUCUGGGACGAAAACGGGAUUUUUAUCUCAAUUGACGGUACCAGAGGAAUAAGCACCGGCUAACUCCGUGCCAGCAGCCGCGGUAAUACGGAGGGUGCGAGCGUUAUCCGGAUUUACUGGGUUUAAAGGGUGCGUAGGUGGGCUUAUAAGUCAGUGGUGAAAUCUCCGAGCCUAACUUGGAAACUGCCGUUGAUACUAUAGGUCUUGAAUUAUCUGGAGGUAAGCGGAAUAUGUCAUGUAGCGGUGAAAUGCUUAGAUAUGACAUAGAACACCAAUUGCGAAGGCAGCUUACUACAUAUAAAUUGACGCUGAGGCACGAAAGCGUGGGGAUCAAACA
rnacentral:rRNA from 1 species